rnacentral:tRNA from 1 species
CAAAUUAGAGCUUGAUUAAGUAUUUCAUUUACAUUGAAAAGAUAAUAAAAUUGAUUAUUUAAUUUGA